AACGCGAAGAACCUUACCUACCCUUGACAUCCUAAGGAUCUUGUAGAGAUACGAGAGUGCCGAAAGGAACUUAGAGACAGGUGCUGCAUGGCUGUCGUCAGCUCGUGUUGUGAGAUGUUGGGUUAAGUCCCGUAACGAGCGCAACCCUUAUCCUUAGUUACCAUCGCGUAAAGGCGGGGACUCUAAGGAGACUGCUGGUGAUGAACCGGAGGAAGGCGGGGACGAGGUCAAGUCAUCAUGGCCUUUAUGGGUAGGGCUACACACGUGCUACAAUGGUCGGUACAGAGGGCAGCCAACCCGCGAGGGGGAGCCAAUCCCACAAAGCCGAUCGUAGUCCAGAUCGGAGUCUGCAACUCGACUCCGUGAAGUCGGAAUCGCUAGUAAUCGCGAAUCAGAAUGUCGCGGUGAAUACGUUCCCGGGCCUUGUACACACCGGACACGC
rnacentral:rRNA from 1 species